CAGCCGCCGCGGUAAUACCGGCGGCCCGAGUGGCGGUCACUAUUAUUGGGCUUAAAACGUCCGUAGCCGGGUUGGGAAGUCCUCCGGGAAAUCUGGCCGCUUAACGGUCAGAAUGCCGGAGGAUACUCCCAGCCUAGGGAGCGGGAGAGGCCGAGGGGAUUCCCGGAGUAGGGGUGAAAUCCUAUAAUCCCGGGAGGACCACCUGUGGCGAAGGCGCUCGGCUGGAACGCGUCCGACGGUGAGGGACGAAGGCCAGGGGAGCAAACCGGAUUAGAUACCCGGGUAGUCCUGGCGGUAAACGAUGCGGACUUUGUGUCGGACAAGCUAUGAGCUUGUCCGGUGCCGGAGGGAAACCGUUAAGUCCGCCGCCUGGGGAGUACGGCCGCAAGGCUGAAACUUAAAGGAAUUGGCGGG
rnacentral:rRNA from 1 species